ensembl:lncRNA LRRC77P leucine rich repeat containing 77, pseudogene
GUUGUUGUUUAUGUAAGAAUUUCAAGGCCACAACUCCAUAUUUGAAGUAAAGUGCUCAUAAAAUUAAUUGCAAGGUUUUGAGAAGCCAUCUGCAGCUCACAACUAGAUGAGUGACACAAUCAGAUGUGCGUAUGCAAAAAAAAGCCUGGAGACAUUGAACUAAGAUCAAAUUUAAUGUAUUAAAUAUGGUAGAAAGAAGAGAGAAUGAAAAAUAAUGUUAACAAUCUAGGUGAGGAAUUGCUGAGGAGACAAAUUAAGUAAAUCCUGUGGAAGGAAAGAAGAAAGGAGGAAAGAGGAUUGGAUGGAAGAAUCUCCACUUCUCAUAGGUGUAGUCCUUCCUUAGCCUGCUUUUUAAUGAGUGCUGCUAAAGCCCUUAGCCUGCCUGUUUACCCUUGGAGUGAAUCCGUGGAAGACCCCCAAAAGAGGCUGCAGAUUCUUAGUGGACAGCUCUCAUAUCCCCUCCAGGGAAAAUGAUGAAAAAUGUCUUCAGAAAAAUAGCUUUAUGAAGGCAAGAGGACUUUUUGCACCUGCAAGACAUGUCUGAAAGCUUCCAUCAGAUUCUUGUAAGUACCUCACUUGGCACAAGGUAGACAUGACGUUCAAGGAAGUCAACUGCGUUGCCCAAGAGUAAGAGAAGGAAUCUCUGAAGAAGAGCAACUUUUCAGACAGGUAGAGUGUGCCUUGCUCCCAAGGAAAAGAGUUCUUGAAAAAAACAAAUGGGAAACAUGGCUACAAGAAAACUGGGAAGACUGCAAGAAAAUCUCAGAAUCUGCUUGAGAAUCCGGUCCUUCUUCCUCCAUACACCCAUGGAACACUCCCAAACUCUGUAUGCUGCUCACUAAUUCUGAUUAAGGUCUUCACCCUCCCUACCUUGGAAAUUGCUACAACAUAAUUGUGUUUAAUUUGAACAUUUCAUUUCAGGGUUUGGGGGAUCCUUACCAAGUUGAAAAUUUUAACAGAAUUCUUAGAAGACUAAUUCGAGUUGAAACCCUCUGUUACCAAGGAUACCUCAGAUACAGCAUUUAUCCUUGGCCGAAAACCACAUUGAGACUCUUACUGGAUUCUCCAGUUUACGGUGCACUCCACUGGAAUCCCUUAUUCUCAAGAGGAACCCUUAGUAUUCUCCUGUUUGCCAAACUUAAAAAUGCUGGAUGGAAUCUUGAAGCUACCAGAAGAUUGCUUAUCACCAGAAACCAAUAUUUUUUCAAAAAUAUGCCUUGUAUCCUAAUGCAGUCUGUAUAGAAAGAAAGCAAUCAUCAUUGUUGCUAAAAGCUAAUAAACACAGGACAUGCAUGAUUAAAUAUUGCAGUUUAUUUUAUAUCUUUUUGCUUUUCUAAAUCAAGGUAGGAAAAUAUUUUCUGUAAAGGACCAGAUGGUAAACAUUUCAGGCUUUCUGGGCUAUAUGGUCUCUGUCACAACUACUCAACCCUGCCAUUGUAGUGCAAAAGCAGCCAUUGAUAAUAUGUAAAUGUAUGGGUGUGUCUGUGUCUCAGUAAAACUUUAUUUACAAAA